rnacentral:rRNA from 1 species
GACGAACGCUGGCGGCGUGCUUAACACAUGCAAGUCGAACGGAAAGGCCCUGCUUUUGUGGGGUGCUCGAGUGGCGAACGGGUGAGUAACACGUGAGUAACCUGCCCUUGACUUUGGGAUAACUUCAGGAAACUGGGGCUAAUACCGGAUAGGAGCUCCUGCUGCAUGGUGGGGGUUGGAAAGUUUCGGCGGUUGGGGAUGGACUCGCGGCUUAUCAGCUUGUUGGUGGGGUAGUGGCUUACCAAGGCUUUGACGGGUAGCCGGCCUGAGAGGGUGACCGGCCACAUUGGGACUGAGAUACGGCCCAGACUCCUACGGGAGGCAGCAGUGGGGAAUAUUGCACAAUGGGCGGAAGCCUGAUGCAACGCCGCGUGCGGGAUGACGGCCUUCGGGUUGUAAACCGCUUUCGCCUGUGACGAAGCGUGAGUGACGGUAAUGGGUAAAGAAGCACCGGCUAACUACGUG